UACGUAGGGUGCAAGCGUUAAUCGGAAUUACUGGGCGUAAAGGGUGCGUAGGCGGGUCUUUAAGUCAGGGGUGAAAUCCUGGAGCUCAACUCCAGAACUGCCUUUGAUACUGAGGACCUUGAGUACGGGAGAGGUGAGUGGAACUGCGAGUGUAGAGGUGAAAUUCGUAGAUAUUCGCAAGAACACCAGUGGCGAAGGCGGCUCACUGGCCCGUAACUGACGCUGAGGCGCGAAAGCGUGGGGAGCAAACAGG
rnacentral:rRNA from 1 species